rnacentral:rRNA from 5 species
AAACUUUCAACAACGGAUCUCUUGGUUCUGGCAUCGAUGAAGAACGCAGCGAAAUGCGAUAAGUAAUGUGAAUUGCAGAAUUCCGUGAAUCAUCGAAUCUUUGAACGCACAUUGCGCCCCUCGGUAUUCCGGGGGGCAUGCUUGUUCGAGCGUCAUU